rnacentral:piRNA from 1 species
UCUCCAGUUUGUACUGGCUGGGAUUGUC